rnacentral:other from 1 species
UAAUACCUGGGGUGUGCGACAACCUUACCAAUUUUGAACCUACACUUUGACCUACGGGGUCCAAGCAUUUUGUGAUUGGAUGUCGAGCCUCUUAUAAAGUGGAUGGCAGAAAACACAUUGAGGACACCCACCUAGCCCUGCUAGGCGUCAUAAUGUAAGAACGACAUUUUGGGAUUAUA